AGUGCAAGUGACGAUGAAAAGACAGGGACAUCAGAAUCUCCUUUUGUUAGGAGAUGAGAAUGAUGAUUAAUGUCUAAAUGGGAAUCUCUCUGAUGCACA
rfam:Brassica napus, WGS project CCCW01000000 data, contig: 3053